rnacentral:rRNA from 1 species
UCUGGUAUGAAAGGUUUGACGAGGAAAAAGCUGUUUCUAUUUUAAUUUUAUAGAAUUUUAUUUUUAAGUCAAAAAGCUUAAAUUAAUUUAAAAGACGAGAAGACCCUAUAGAGUUUUAUAAAAUAAAUGAUUUAAAAUUAUUUGAAUUAUAUAUUAUAAAUUAUUUAUUUUAUUUUAUUGGGGUGAUCGAAAAAUUUAAAAAACUUUUUUUUUAUAAUAACAUUUAUUUAUGAAUUAUUGAUCCAUAUUAAUGAUUAUAAGAUUAAAUUACCUUAGGGAUAACAGCGA